rnacentral:rRNA from 1 species
ACUUUAACCUGAUUCUUCGGAUGAAGGUUUUUGUGACUGAGUGGCGGACGGGUGAGUAACGCGUGGGUAACCUGCCUCAUACAGGGGGAUAACAGUUAGAAAUGACUGCUAAUACCGCAUAAGACCACAGAGCCGCAUGGCUCAGUGGGAAAAACUCCGGUGGUAUGAAAUGGACCCGCGUCUGAUUAGGUAGUUGGUGGGGUAACGGCCUACCAAGCCAACGAUCAGUAGCCGACCUGAGAGGGUGACCGGCCACAUUGGGACUGAGACACGGCCCAAACUCCUACGGGAGGCAGCAGUGGGGAAUAUUGCACAAUGGGGGAAACCCUGAUGCAGCGACGCCGCGUGAGCGAAGAAGUAUUUCGGUAUGUAAAGCUCUAUCAGCAGGGAAGAAAAUGACGGUACCUGACUAAGAAGCACCGGCUAAAUACGUGCCAGCAGCCGCGGUAAUACGUAUGGUGCAAGCGUUAUCCGGAUUUACUGGGUGUAAAGGGAGCGUAGACGGCUGUGUAAGUCUGAAGUGAAAGCCCGGGGCUCAACCCCGGGACUGCUUUGGAAACUAUGCAGCUAGAGUGUCGGAGAGGUAAGUGGAAUUCCCAGUGUAGCGGUGAAAUGCGUAGAUAUUGGGAGGAACACCAGUGGCGAAGGCGGCUUACUG